rnacentral:rRNA from 1 species
UACGUAGGGUGCAAGCGUUAAUCGGAAUUACUGGGCGUAAAGCGUGCGCAGGCGGCUUUGCAAGACAGAUGUGAAAUCCCCGGGCUUAACCUGGGAACUGCAUUUGUGACUGCAUGGCUAGAGUGCGGCAGAGGGGGAUGGAAUUCCGCGUGUAGCAGUGAAAUGCGUAGAUAUGCGGAGGAACACCGAUGGCGAAGGCAAUCCCCAGGGCCUGCACUGACGCUCAUGCACGAAAGCGUGGGGAGCAAACAGG